UACAGAGGUCUCAAGCGUUGUUCGGAUUCAUUGGGCGUAAAGGGUGCGUAGGCGGCGCGGUAAGUCGGGUGUGAAAUCUCGGAGCUUAACUCCGAAACUGCAUUCGAUACUGCCGUGCUUGAGGACUGGAGAGGAGACUGGAAUUUACGGUGUAGCGGUGAAAUGCGUAGAGAUGUGGAGGAACACCAGUGGCGAAGGCGACUUCCUGGCCUGUUCUUGACGCUGGAGGCGCGAAAGCUAGGGGAGCAAACGGG
rnacentral:rRNA from 1 species